GACGAACGCUGGCGGCGUGCUUAACACAUGCAAGUCGAACGGAAAGGCCCUGCUUUUGUGGGGUGCUCGAGUGGCGAACGGGUGAGUAACACGUGAGUCACCUGCCCUUGACUUUGGGAUCACUUCAGGAAACUGGGGCUACUACCGGAUAGGAGCUCCUGCUGCAUGGUGGGGGUUGGAAAGUUUCGGCGGUUGGGGAUGGACUUGCGGCUUAUCAGCUUGUUGGUGGGGUAGUGGCUUACCAAGGCUUUGACGGGUAGCCGGCCUGAGAGGGUGACCGGCCACAUUGGGACUGAGAUACGGCCCAGACGCCUACGGGAGGCAGCAGUGGGGAAUAGUGCACAAUGGGCGGAAGCCUGAGUCAGCAACGCCGCGUGCGGGAUGACGGCCUUCUGGUUGUAAACCGCUUGCGCCUGGGACGAAGCGGGAGUGACGGUAAUGGGUAAAGAAGCACCGGCUAACUACGUG
rnacentral:rRNA from 1 species